AAUAGAUACCCCGGUAGUCCACGCCGUAAACGAUGAGUGCUAAGUGUUAGAGGGUUUCCGCCCUUUAGUGCUGCAGCUAACGCAUUAAGCACUCCGCCUGGGGAGUACGGCCGCAAGGCUGAAACUCAAAGGAAUUGACGGGGGCCCGCACAAGCGGUGGAGCAUGUGGUUUAAUUCGAAGCAACGCGAAGAACCUUACCAGGUCUUGACAUCCUCUGCCAACCCUAGAGAUAGGGCGUUCCCCUUCGGGGGACAGAGUGACAGGUGGUGCAUGGUUGUCGUCAGCUCGUGUCGUGAGAUGUUGGGUUAAGUCCCGCAACGAGCGCAACCCUUGAUCUUAGUUGCCAGCAUUCAGUUGGGCACUCUAAGGUGACUGCCGGUGACAAACCGGAGGGAGGUGGGGAUGACGUCAAAUCAUCAUGCCCCUUAUGACCUGGGCUACACACGUGCUACAAUGGAUGGUACAAAGAGCUGCGAACCCGCGAGGGUAAGCCAAUCUCAUAAAGCCAUUCUCAGUUCGGA
rnacentral:rRNA from 1 species